rnacentral:rRNA from 1 species
GCUCAGGACGAACGCUGGCGGCGUGCUUAACACAUGCAAGUCGAACGGUGAUCUUGAGAGCUUGCUCUUGGGUGAUCAGUGGCGAACGGGUGAGUAACACGUGAGUAACCUGCCCCAGACUCUGGAAUAACCUCGGGAAACCGUGGCUAAUACCGGAUACGAAACGGAGCUGCAUGGCUGCCGUUUGGAAAGUUUUUCGGUUUGGGAUGGACUCGCGGCCUAUCAGCUUGUUGGUGAGGUAAUGGCUCACCAAGGCGACGACGGGUAGCCGGCCUGAGAGGGCGAUCGGCCACACUGGGACUGAGACACGGCCCAGACUCCUACGGGAGGCAGCAGUGGGGAAUAUUGCACAAUGGGCGAAAGCCUGAUGCAGCGACGCCGCGUGAGGGAUGACGGCCUUCGGGUUGUAAACCUCUUUCAGCAGGGAAGAAGCGAAAGUGACGGU